rnacentral:tRNA from 1 species
GGGGAUUUAGCUCAGCGGCAUAAGCGCCUGCCUUGCAAGCAGGAAGUCGUGAGUUCGAUCCCCA